AUAUCGAUAGUAUCGUUCGAUCUCUAACUGUGACUGUGAUCCCAUUAGCUGAUUGUGGAUCAUAAUUAUGGGAUAACAAAUGUGUAGUUGUGUAGAUAUUGUAAAAUUUAAGUUGUCGAAAAAUAGCUUUGCCAAAUACCAAUCUUAACAGUUCUAACCGAAAUACACUUUACAAAAUGAUGCAAUUAUUCGGAAGGCUACCAAAAAAUAUUUUCCGAUCGAAUCUGCUUGGCGCAUCGGCCCGCACAUGUUUUUACAAUAGGUUCAACUCUACCGAAGUCCAGCCAGUGUCAAUAUCAGAGGAUUUCCGGAAAAAGCAAAUACUUUUCAACAUAAAAUCGGAGAACGUAGAAGGUAGACCGCUAUAUCUUGACGCCCAGGCGACCACGCCACUGGAUCCUCGCGUAUUAGAUAGUAUGUUGCCUUACCUGACGAAUUACUAUGGGAAUCCACACUCACGUACUCAUGCCUACGGUUGGGAAUCUGAGAAAGCAGUCGAAAAGGCAAGAGAACAGGUUGCGCGGUUAAUUAAUGCAGAACCAAAAGAGAUCAUUUUCACAUCGGGUGCUACAGAAUCUAAUAAUAUUGCCGUUAAGGGCGUUGCCAGAUUUUACGCGAGUAAAAGAAAACAUAUAAUUACAACGCAGACAGAACACAAAUGCGUGCUGGACUCUUGCCGCGCUUUGGAAAAUGAAGGAUUCAAAGUUACUUACUUACCGGUUAAAUCAAAUGGUAUCAUUGAUAUGAAGCUAUUGGAAGAAUCUAUAACACCAUAUACGUCGCUAGUUUCAAUAAUGACAGUAAACAAUGAAAUCGGCGUUAAACAGCCGGUGGCUGAUAUUGGUGCACUUUGCCGUUCACGGAAAGUAUUUUUCCACACGGAUGCUGCCCAGGCUGUAGGUAAAAUUCUUAUCGAUGUGAAUGCAAUGAAUAUUGAUUUGAUGUCCAUAUCUGGACAUAAGAUUUAUGGCCCAAAGGGCAUUGGAGCACUUUAUGUGCGUCGAAGGCCACGAGUUCGGCUUGAACCUAUACAAAGCGGUGGAGGGCAAGAGCGUGGCCUACGUAGUGGAACUGUACCCGCACCGCUAGUUGUUGGAUUUGGUUUUGCUUGCGAUAUAGCUUUAAAGGAAAUGGAUUACGAUAAAAAAUGGAUAGAUUUUCUUUCAAAACGAUUAUACGACCACAUCACUAGCGCUUUGCCUCAUGUCAUCCGUAACGGUGAUCCUGAGCAAACUUAUAGCGGUUGUUUAAAUUUGUCUUUUGCCUACGUUGAGGGCGAAUCGUUAUUGAUGGCUUUGAAAGAUGUUGCUCUGUCAAGUGGUUCAGCAUGUACUUCAGCGUCAUUGGAGCCUUCAUAUGUGUUGCGCGCAAUCGGUACCGAUGAAGACUUAGCACACAGUUCGAUAAGAUCUGCGCUUAUCACAUCGAUUAGCAACUGAAAAUGGCGUCCCUUACAGACGUUGAAAUAGAACGAAUUUUAGAGGAUCUGGGUUGCGAAAGUGAGAAUGGAAUGGAUUUUUCAGACGACGACGAUGUUAUUCCUCCAGAAAUAAGUGCACUUCCGUUGUCAGUUGAAGAAGAAUUUAGUGGUAAUGGUAAUGAUAUCUCUGUUAUAACGGGCAUCAGCUCAACAGCAAAGGGCGGUACCAAGAAAUGUAAACCUGAGAAACUGAGUGUGAAAUGGAAGACCAAAGCUCUUAAUUUAAGUUCCGAGCAAAUUUAUUUCCGUGGCAGUACAAACUUGUCGAAUGACAUUUUGGGACUGGAUACACCUUUCCAAGUGUUCCAAUAACUGUUCCCAGAUGAAAUAGUGGACUACAUUAGAGAUCAGUCUAACAUAUACAGCACAGAAAAAAUUUAAAUAAGCCCUUAAACACUACAAAUAUCGAAAUAAGGCAAUUUAUUGGUAUUCUCUACUACAUGUCCAUCGUAGAAAUGCCGAAUGCCGGUAUGUAUUGGUCAGAGAAGUUCGGCUACGCUCCUGUAAAAGAGAUUUUGUCUCAAAAAAUAUUUGCACAAAAUCGCCAAAUGUUACACCUGAACGAAAACAGCAAUAUGUUAAAUAAGGAUCACCUUGAUUUUGACCGAUUAUUCAAAAUAACGCCACUGUUAGACAUGCUGAACUCAAGUUUUGGAAAAAUUCCGUUAGAGGCGCAGUUAUCAAUUGACAAGCAAAUAUGUUCUACAAAGGCACGUCACCACCUGAAGUAGUACCUUCCCGAUAAACCGCAUAAGUGGGGCUAUAAAUUAUUCGUCAUGUCUGGUGUGAGUGGCUUUGUCACAAAUUUGAGGUAUACAGUGGCCAAGAAAAUAUUGUCGCUGACGAUGAACCCGACCUAGGUGCGUCUGUCAAUGUGGUUGUUCGACUUUCAAGAAGUGUGCCUUCCAAUGAGAACUACCGCAUUUUCUUUAAUACUUACUACACGUCCUUGCCGUUGACUGAAUACUUGGCAAAACGAGGAAUACUGAGCUUGGGAAACAUUAGAAGAAAUCGCAUACCCAAUUGCAAGUUACCGGAGGAAAAGAUUUCCAAGAAAGAGUACCGCGGGACAUCUGUCGAACAGGUGGGUGACAUCAAUGGAACGGACAUCUCCGUUGUUUCAUAGAGGGACAACAAAGUGGCCACAUUAGCAUCCAACUUCGCGGGAAAAGUCGCAGUAUCUUCGGUGCAUAGAUAUGAUAAAUCCAAGAAAAACAGAAAAGCAGGGAACGCUAAAAAGGAAAAGUACCCUACAAAGCCAAAUAGAAGAAAAAAAGAAAAAAGGUCCUUGUCAAUACAUUCCGCCGAAAGAUGUUCGGCAAGAUCAGCUAGGACAUUGGCCUGCUUGGGCAGAAAAAAGAAUAAGGUGCAAGCUACCAAACUGCAAAGGAUACACGCAAACAAUUUGCGAAAAAUGUGGCGUGGGCUUAUGCUAUAACAAAAGUAACAAUUGCUUCAAGCAAUUUCAUAUUCAUUGAAUUUUCUGAAAUAAAGCGCAAUGUUGCAUAUCUGCAACAUACUUAUUUUAUUGAAUAA
rnacentral:misc_RNA from 1 species